ensembl:lncRNA
CCUCCCCUCUCCCUCCCAAGCUUGCUGUGUGAAACUGCUGUUUCGUGGCGCAAGUGCUGGAGGGAUGGGGGAGAAGCAGGAUGCGGUGGCGUGCUCAGGGGAGGAGGCAGAGGCGGAGCGGAGACGGAGGUGAGUUGGAGCGGGGAGCUGCUGGUGGGUGCUUCAGCCCCAGAGCAUCCAUGGAGUUGGUGCCUAUGCUCCCGCAGGGCACCUACAAGAGACCCGUGGCAUCGGGAAAAGCCAAACAAAAGUCUGUGCACGCCUCUGAGCAGCAGAGUCAGAGCCUAGGGAACAGCAACAACAGUUCCUAAAUCAGUCUAACUCUCCGCUCCUGGACAACCAGUGCUCACUCUUUGACCAGCCAUUCUCCCCACCUGACCUGGCUACCUUUACUGACAAUGAGCCUGAUAUGCAGCAGCAGGCGGAGUUCUCCCCACCUGCCUCUCCUCCUCCACUGGAACAUUUUGCACCUCAGGUCACGGCUCACAACCACCAGCCUCAGUUUCCCUACUUUGCUCCCCCAUGGGCAGCACCUAACUUUUCUUAUCAGAUGCCUUGGCCUCAUUGGUACCCUUGGCCAGCUCCUACUGCCACUUGCCCUCAUGCUUCUUCCACCAGACCACAAGCUCCUUCUGCACCUCUAUCUCCAGCUCCGUCUACUUCUAGAACACCUGAACUCCCCUCUGAAGAAGUGGGCUAUGGACCAUACCCUGAUUCACCGACUCCUAACUCUCCAUCAGCUCCAGACAGAGUCCUCAUGCCUCCGCCUCCACAGAAUGUGGAUGACUUCAAACAGUUCCAAGAACUUUUAAAGAGGGUGGCACUCUGCCAAGACAUCCCUUUAGAAGAGGUCCAGGAGACACAACACAAACUCCUCAAAAUCCUCCAACCCUCUGCACCCUCAAAGAUCACGCUUCCCAUAAAUGAAGCACUCCUAGAACCAGCUGACACUCUCUCGCAGACCCCAGCCUCUAUCUUACCAACUUGCAAAAAGGCUGAACAUAAAUAUUAUGUUCCUGCUAAGGACGUAGACUUCUUAUUCUCCCAUCCACAACCAAAUUCUUUUGUAGUGGAUGCAGCGACUCACAGGAUGAAACAACCACAUUACUGGCCCACCCUGCAAGACAAGGACCUCAAACACCUUGACAUCUUGGGCUGCAAGGUUUAUACCUCCUCCACUCUGCAAUUCAGAAUUGCAAACUAUUCCACCUUACUUGCAAGCUACGACUUUGAUAAUUACAAUAAACUCUUUGAUUUUACCUCCCAUAUUCCAGAGGACAGGAGAGCAGACUUUCAGUCAGUCCUUGUCGAGGGCCAAUUGGUCUCCAGAAUGGCCCUACAAGCAUCUCUGGACAUGGUGGAUACAGCUGCCCGCACUACUACAACUGCAGUGGUUAUGUGCAGAUCUUCCUGGCUCUCUGCAUCCAGUAUCCCCAAAGACCUGCAGACCAAAGUGGAGGACCUCCCCUUUGAUAAAGACAAACUCUUUUCUGAGAAAACUGACAAAGUCCUUCACACCAUGAAAGACUCAAGAGUGACCCUGCGCACCCUGGGCAUCUACCCAUCCAUUCCCAGGAGACAACGGUAUCAACCUUAGCUGAGGCCACGCACACAACAGUAUCACCAGCCUCAGAACAGACCAUACGAUAUACCCAGGAAUCGCCCUAGACCUCCUAGGCCCAGACAAAACCAAGCGCAAACAGCUACCUCCCACCCAUCAGGAAAUAAACAACAAUUUUGAAGCA